rnacentral:rRNA from 1 species
GAUGAACGCUAGCGGCAGGCUUAACACAUGCAAGUCGAGGGGUAUAGUUCUUCGGAGCUAGAGACCGGCGCACGGGUGCGUAACGCGUAUGCAAUCUACCUUUUGCAGAGGGAUAGCCCAGAGAAAUUUGGAUUAAUACCUCAUGGUAUGUGAGAAUGGCAUCAUUUUCACAUUAAAGUCACAACGGCAAAAGAUGAGCAUGCGUCCCAUUAGCUAGUUGGUAAGGUAACGGCUUACCAAGGCAACGAUGGGUAGGGGUCCUGAGAGGGAGGUCCACCAAACUCGUAAUGAGACACGGUCCAGACCCCUACGGGAGGCAGCAGUGAGGAAUAUUGGACAAUGGGCGCAAGCCUGAUCCAGCCAUGCCGCGUGCAGGAUGACGGUCCUAUGGAUUGUAAACUGCUUUUGUACAGGAAGAAACACUGGUUCGUGAACCAGCUUGACGGUACUGUAAGAAUAAGGAUCGGCUAACUCCGUGCCAGCAGCCGCAGUAACAC